AUUGAACGCUGGCGGCAUGCUUUACACAUGCAAGUCGAACGGCAGCACGGGUGCUUGCACCUGGUGGCGAGUGGCGGACGGGUGAGUAAUACAUCGGAACGUGUCCAGAAGAGGGGGAUAACGCAUCGAAAGAUGUGCUAAUACCGCAUAUACUCUAAGGAGGAAAGCAGGGGAUCGAAAGACCUUGCGCUUUUGGAGCGGCCGAUGUCUGAUUAGCUAGUUGGUGGGGUAAGGGCCUACCAAGGCGACGAUCAGUAGUUGGUCUGAGAGGACGACCAGCCACACUGGGACUGAGACACGGCCCAGACUCCUACGGGAGGCAGCAGUGGGGAAUUUUGGACAAUGGGCGCAAGCCUGAUCCAGCAAUGCCGCGUGAGUGAAGAAGGCCUUCGGUUGUAAGACUCUUUCUAGUCGAGAAGAAAAGGACGUAGCAGUGAAU
rnacentral:rRNA from 1 species